rnacentral:rRNA from 1 species
AAUAGAUACCCCGGUAGUCCACGCCCUAAACGAUGUCUACUAGUUGUCGGGGGUAACUCCUUCGGUAACGCAGCUAACGCGUGAAGUAGACCGCCUGGGGAGUACGGUCGCAAGAUUAAAACUCAAAGGAAUUGACGGGGACCCGCACAAGCGGUGGAUGAUGUGGAUUAAUUCGAUGCAACGCGAAAAACCUUACCUACCCUUGACAUGCCACUAACGAAGCAGAGAUGCAUUAGGUGCCCGAAAGGGAAAGUGGACACAGGUGCUGCAUGGCUGUCGUCAGCUCGUGUCGUGAGAUGUUGGGUUAAGUCCCGCAACGAGCGCAACCCUUGCCAAUAGUUGCUACGAAAGGGCACUCUAUUGGGACUGCCGGUGACAAACCGGAGGAAAGUGGGGAUGACGUCAAGCCCUCAUGGCCCUUAUGGGUAGGGCUUCACACGUCAUACAAUGGCUGGUACAGAGGGUUGCCAACCCGCGAGGGGGAGCCAAUCCCACAAAACCAGUCGUAGUCCGGAUUGCAGUCUGCAACUCGACUGCAUG